rnacentral:rRNA from 1 species
GAUGAACGCUGGCGGCGGGCCUAACACAUGCAAGUCGAGCGAACGGACGGGGCUUGUUCCUGUCUGAAGUGGGGGGCGGGCGGGUGAUGCACACGAGUCUACCUGGCCGUGGAGACUGACGUACGGUCACGAGAGCGAAUACCGCAUCCGAUAAGAGGGUGAACCUGGGGGAUCUUAGGAGCAAACGCGACUUGAUGACACUAGGUCGUAUUAGCUAGUUGGUGGGGUAAGGGGGUACCAAGGCGACGAUCCGUAACUGAUCUGAGAGGCUGAUCAGCCACACUGGAACUGAGACACGGUCCAGACUCCUACGGGAGGCAGCAGUGGGGAAUAUUGGGCAAUGGGCGAAAGCCUGAUCCAGCCACGCCGCGUGUGUGAAGAAGGUCUUCGGAUCGUAAAGCUCUUUUAGUUGGGAGGAACAGCAGUAUGUUAAUACCUGGCUGUUUUGACGGUACCUACAGAAUAAGCACCGGCUAACUACGUG